UACGUAGGGGCCUAGCGUUGUCCGGAAUUAUUGGGCGUAAAGAGCUCGUAGGCGGUUCGGCAAGUCGGAUGUGAAAUCUCCACGCUCAACGUGGAGGGGUCAGCUGAUACUGCUGUGACUUGAGUCCGGUAGGGGAGUGUGGAAUUCCCGGUGUAGCGGUGAAAUGCGCAGAUAUCGGGAGGAACACCAGUAGCGAAGGCGGCACUCUGGGCCGGUACUGACGCUGAGGAGCGAAAGCGUGGGGAGCAAACAGG
rnacentral:rRNA from 1 species